rnacentral:rRNA from 1 species
UACGGGAGGAGCGAGCAUUAUUCGGAAUGAUUAGGCGUAAAGGGCGCGUAGGCGGUGCGGUAAGUCACCUGUGAAAACUCUGGGCUCAACUCAGAGCCUGCAGGCGAAACUGCCGUGCUUGAGUGUGGGAGAGGUGCGUGGAAUUCCCGGUGUAGCGGUGAAAUGCGUAGAUAUCGGGAAGAACACCCGUGGCGAAGGCGGCUCUCUGGGACGGUACUGACGCUGAGACGCGAAAGCGUGGGGAGCGAACAGG